CUUUAUGGGUUCAACUAACACUUUCGAAUCGGUGCUCGACCCAGGCCUGGAGCACCGCUUCAAGAGGAAGUAAAUCUUCAUUCCCGACGAGACGAGCGGCGAGGCGGCACCGCGGCUCCAGGCGGGGCGGCGGCUCCUCCGACACCCGCGUCAUGCCCUUCAGCUUCCAGCAGCAGACGAGCGGCUGAACAGACACUCCCCGGGAUGACUGAACGACAGCCAGGCUGGACUGAAUGAUCCAGCAGUUGCUGCAGGUGUGGCCAGGUGUUGCAACCCUCCAAUAAGCACCUGUACCAAUCUGGAUAGAGAUGUGUAGUUCACAGUGUAAGGACAAUCCAGUUGCCAGUCAAACAUCUGGCACUGUUCCCCAAAAGAGCUGACAAACUCCGAGCCAAGUUUUUUUUUUCUUUACACUCUGGCCUAUAGCGCUGGUAGGCUUUCUUCAGGGGCCUGGUGGUCGACCCAAGCCCGUCAUGGCGCAGGCAAGUGUUUAUAGCAGCACCAUUUAUUCUUGGCUCAUGCUGCCCGCCGGAGCUCAUUCUUGAUUCACUUGGACAGUCCCUCUAGAGUUGGGGUUGAUAGGUGAUCUUCAGGACAGCACGUGGGUAGCCUUAUGCCACUUGGCAAUGACUGAAAAAUCCCAGGUGGUAGCAGAAGAUUUGAACCCGCAUUGUCCAGAACAUGGUGAACGCAGGACCUGCACACUAACCAUUCAGCCACUGCCUCUCUGUUCCAGCAUUAGUAAAAAAUGAGAGGCCAGAAGAGAGAGGUUGAUUUCAGAUGGAGAAGUGUCUCGAUAGGCAGGAGGAAAUAAAUGAAGGAAGGCUGCUCUGGAGUUAACCUGCAUAAGGAAUUAGGAUGGUAUAGAGACGAGUAGAACGUCCUCCAACCUCGUCAGGGACAAUCUUAAGUGUGUUCUUAACAACUCAAUCAAGGAAGAUAGCAAUACAGAAUCCCUCUGGGCAGAAACAAUAGGUAGGAAGAAGCUUGUCAUCGGAGUACUUUACAGACCGCCCAACCUUAAACCUUACCAGGGACAGUAGCCAACCCCUUUUACAAGAAAUUAGUAGGGCGUCAAGAUACAGGAAUGUGUGUGUAAUUGGGGAUUUCAAUUAUAGGAACAUAGAGUGGGAUACUUUAUCCGGAGACCAAGAGGCACAGGAUUUGUUAGAUGUGAUACAGGAUAGUUUCCUUAAAUAGUUAAUUAGAACACCAACGAGGGAAGAAAAUAUUUUGGAUUUGUUGUUAACUAAUAGAGAGGACAUAAUAAGCAACAUUGAGGUUGGGGAUUCAUUAGGUAACAGUGAUCAUAAGGAAAUUAGAUUUAAUAUUAAAUGGGAGGAUAGAGUAAGCAGUAACAACACAUUAAUACCUGACUUCAGGAAGGCAGACUAUGAGGGGUUAAGAAAGCAGCUGCAGAGGCUUAGAGGAGUGAGAUCAGAAGUAGGUCAGGACCCAGAGCAGGGAGGGGCGGUAAUCUCUGGUGAGGUCACUAGUCAGGUCAGUAGCUUGGAGGGUGAGUACAAUAGUCUGGUCAGGGAGAUUAAAUUAGGACAGAAACAGUUUAUACCUCACAGGGAAGUCAGGUCAACAGGUAAUUACCCGAGAUGGAUGACAGACAGGCUAAAAACUGAAAUAGGAAGGAAAAGAGGACUAUAUGUUAGAAUUAAAAGGGGGGAAACUCACCUAAGGGAUAGUUACAACGAUUUAGCUAGAGCAGUAAAGAAGAACACACGUAUGGCAAAACGUAAUUAUGAGAUUAGAAUUGCCAGGGAAGCAAAGACCAAUCCAAAGGGCUUCUUUCAGCUUUAUAAGACCAAGGUUAGGGAUAAGAUAGGGCCGCUUAAGUCAGGAGAAUCACUGAUUGAUAGUGAUGAGG